GCCUCCUCGGGUACCGUAGUUCUUUGGCAGCAUGGCAGCAGAGAGGGAGACUCGUUUCUGCGUUCAGUCUUUUCAAGCUUCACCUCAUUGCAGCAGAAAUGACCCGAGCAGGUCAGUUCUGCAUGAAGAAGGCUGACCAGAGAGGAGUCACACAAACUAGUCACAUGGAGUCAGCACCAUGAUGACUUGUAUGAUCAACUGAGAUGAAGAAACUAAAGAUGACCUGCCUGAACAAAAACAACUUGUUUUAAAUCUCAAUCCCCCUCUUUCCCCUGUACAGUUAAUAAGUGGUAAUGGGGGAGACUUUUGAUGGAUGGUGACUGAAGACUCUGGGAGCUGCCUGAAUUCAAUCCCUCAACGCUCGAGAAUGAAUCCUGAGAUUGGAGUUGAAUUCCUCGCCAGGCUGAGAACUUCAGAGCUGGCUGUGUGAAGAUGGAGGUUCUUGUUGUCCGGGACCCAGCGGGGGGUUUGAGAGCUGGUUGAUUAAGACUCAAAUUCAAGAUCCUGACGAUGACUGGUCUACUUUAUUGGUUCCCCAAAUCCUUUUAUCCAAAUGUCACCGCGGGCCAGAAAACUGCUGCGUCGAGCGACUGGAACAAACCUGAAUCAUGAAACUACAGUUUUUAAAUGCACAAUGGUGUCUGAAUAUUAAAGCUACUGUCUGCAUCAAACUGUAAACUUGUUUUAAUAAACCGUAACUGAGUUAACUCUU